AACGUAGGUGGCAAGCGUUAUCCGGAUUUACUGGGCGUAAAGGGUGUGCAGGCGGCUCGCUAAGUGGUGUAUGAAAUCGCCGGGCUAAACCUGGCGGGGUUAUGCCAGACUGGCGGGCUCGAGUGCGGGAGAGGGACGUGGAAUUCCGGGUGUAGUGGUGAAAUGCGUAGAGAUCCGGAGGAACCCCAGAGGCGAAGGCGGCGUCCUGGCCCGACACUGACGCUCAGACACGAGAGCAUGGGGAGCGAACGGG
rnacentral:rRNA from 1 species